rnacentral:rRNA from 1 species
AGUGAACGCUGGCGGCAGGCCUAACACAUGCAAGUCGAGCGGCAGCGCGUCCGACCACCCUCGGGUGGUCGGAUGGCGGCGAGCGGCGGACGGGUGAGGAAUGCAUCGGAAUCUGCCUCGUUGUGGGGGAUAACGUAGGGAAACUUACGCUAAUACCGCAUACGACCUACGGGUGAAAGUGGGGGACCUUCGGGCCUCACGCGAUGAGAUGAGCCGAUUUGCCGGAUUAGCUAGUUGGCGGGGUAAAGGGCCCACCAAGGCGACGAUCCGUAGCUGGUCUGAGAGGAUGAUCAGCCACACUGGAACUGAGACACGGUCCAGACUCCUACGGGAGGCAGCAGUGGGGAAUUUUGGACAAUGGACGCAAGUCUGAUCCAGCAAUGCCGCGUGCAGGACGAAGGCCUC